AUUGAACGCUGGCGGCAUGCUUUACACAUGCAAGUCGAACGGCAGCACAGGGAGCUUGCUCCCGGGUGGCGAGUGGCGCACGGGUGAGUAAUACAUCGGAACGUGUCCUGUUGUGGGGGAUAACUGCUCGAAAGGGUGGCUAAUACCGCAUGAGACCUGAGGGUGAAAGCGGGGGAUCGCAAGACCUCGCGCAAUUGGAGCGGCCGAUGCCCGAUUAGCUAGUUGGUGAGGUAAAGGUUCACCAAGGCGACGAUCGGUAGCUGGUCUGAGAGGACGACCAGCCACACUGGGACUGAGACACGGCCCAGACUCCUACGGGAGGCAGCAGUGGGGAAUUUUGGACAAUGGGGGCAACCCUGAUCCAGCCAUGCCGCGUGCAGGAUGACGGUUUUCGGAUUGUAAACUUCUUUUCUUAGUGACGAAGACAGUGACGGUAGCUAAGGAUAAGCAUCGGCUAACUACGUG
rnacentral:rRNA from 1 species